ACUUUUCAUUUUGCCCCCAAAAGCAUUCUCUCUUAACUCUUUCGCUGAAUACUCUUCCGCCGAAUACUCUGCAAAUAUCAUCUCUCACCUAUUAAUCUUCUCCGCCGAAUCCACUCAUGCCGUCGAACCUACUCACACCGUCAAACCCAUCCACGCUCUCUUCUCCGUUCAUCGGCCACGGUUCAUCGAUUCAGAGUUGAAGUCUUUUCCGGAUUCUUCAAAGAAAUAUAUUGGCAAUCAUGAGAUUAAAGAAAGGGGCUAAGGUGGAAGUGUUAAGCAAAGAUGAGGUGCCUUCUGGCUCCUGGCUAUGUGCAGAGAUUAUUCGUGGUAAGGGCCACCAUUACACUGUUAAGUAUGAGGUGUUUGAAGGUGCUACUGGUGAGGCAAUCGUGGGGAGAGUUUCGAGGAAAUCUGUAAGACCGUGUUCGCCUGCAUUUGAACUCGUGGAGAACUGGACUCCAGGUGAAAUUGUAGAAGUGUAUUAGAAUUUUUCUUGGAAGAUGGCUACUGUUUUGAAGGUUUUGGGGAAAAAGUGCAUUUCUGUUAGGCUAGUUGGAUCUUCAUUGGAAUUCCAAGUUAGCAAAUUUUGAGAUGUGGAGCCACUGUUUCAGUUGUUGCACUUAGCAGGAAGGGUGGUUUGUUGUCAGAGCUUUCUAGAAGACGGAUCAAGGUGUUGGAUGAUAAAGCAGAGCUCAGCUUCAAAACUGCAAUGAAGGAUGAUCUCGUAAUUGCUGGUUCAGCUGUAUGUGUAUCAUGGAUUGAAAGUUAGUAGUGAAAAUCGAGAAAGAGCGUUAAAUCCUCAACAUACUUAUAAUUUGUAUAUGAGUUAAUGGGUUGUAUGAGGGGAAUAGGGAAGAAAAAUGGUGAUUUCUGAGUUUUAACGCAGUGUAGGUCGACCAACACAGAAGCAUGAGUCGACCUGAGCAACCCAAAAGGUUCUUGAUCAUUCAUGUAGCUGGUGGAUGCCUUAGAUCAAUAUUUGGAUUAUAUUCUUUCUUUUCUCUAUUAAUAUAUUAUAUUUACAAGAUUAUUCUUUAUCUUGUUAUUAACUUGAUUUUGCUGGACACUAUUUGUUUAAUGAAAGAAGUGUUUGUGAUGUGUUAUAGAGUUGGAUUUACAAUAAUGAAUGUUGAUAUAAUUUUUUAAUUAAUGCAGAAAGUUAGUAGUGAAAAUCGAGAAAGAGCGUUAAAUCCUCAACAUACUUAUAAUUUGUAUAUGAGUUAAUGGGUUGUAUGAGGGGAAUAGGGAAGAAAAAUGGUGAUUUCUGAGUUUUAACGCAGUGUAGGUCGACCAACACAGAAGCAUGAGUCGACCUGAGCAACCCAAAAGGCAGGAAAUCCAUUUUCCUUCAGCAUGCGUUGACCUUUGAAUUCUGUGCGUCGACCUGUCGAAUUCCUUGUGUCGACUCAUGAGUCGACCUGAGCUAACCUGAGAGGGGUAGAAAACAUCCAUGCGUCGACCUAUGAAUCCCUUGCGUCAACCUGAAGAUUUCCAUUUUUGACAGAUUUUGUAAAGACCGUAACUUUUGAUCCAUAACUUCGUUUUAUGUGUCGUUCGAAGCGUUAGGAAGCUAUUGUGAUGGUCUAUAUGAUGG